AACGAACGCUGGCGGCAGGCUUAACACAUGCAAGUCGAACGCCCCGCAAGGGGAGUGGCGCACGGGUGAGUAACGCGUGGAUAUCUGCCUUUUGGUUCGGAAUAACCCCGGGAAACUGGGGCUAAUACCGGAUGGUUCCCACGGGAUAAAGAUUUAUCGCCAAAAGAUGAGUCCGCGUACGAUUAGCUAGUUGGUGAGGUAAUGGCUCACCAAGGCGACGAUCGUUAGCUGGUCUGAGAGGACGAUCAGCCACACUGGGACUGAGACACGGCCCAGACUCCUACGGGAGGCAGCAGUGGGGAAUAUUGGACAAUGGGGGCAACCCUGAUCCAGCCAUGCCGCGUGAGUGAUGAAGGCCUUCGGGUUGUAAAGCUCUUUUGGCGGGGACGAUGAUGACGGUACCCGCAGAAUAAGCCCCGGCUAACUUCGUG
rnacentral:rRNA from 1 species